rnacentral:rRNA from 1 species
GUGGAUUAGAUACCCUGGUAGUCCACGCCGUAAACGAUGAUAACUAGCUGUCCGGGCUCAUAGAGCUUGGGUGGCGCAGCUAACGCAUUAAGUUAUCCGCCUGGGGAGUACGGUCGCAAGAUUAAAACUCAAAGGAAUUGACGGGGGCCUGCACAAGCGGUGGAGCAUGUGGUUUAAUUCGAAGCAACGCGCAGAACCUUACCAGCCUUUGACAUCCUAGGACGGUUUCUGGAGACAGAUUCCUUCCCUUCGGGGACCUAGUGACAGGUGCUGCACGGCCGUCAUCAACU